GGGUCAAAAAACGGGAGCUUGGAGUCAGCCAGGCUGAGAGGGCGGAGAACUCUGCCGCCGACCGUGUACCUGAUCUGGGUAAUGCCAGCGUAGGGAAGAUGACGGGACUCGUGU
rnacentral:ncRNA from 1 species